GCACCUGUGGUGCAGUGGUAAGCAUUUCUGUCUUAUAAUUGGUUCCCUUACGGGUACCCUCUAUGCAGUAAUCAGAAGGUCGUGAGUUCAAUCCUCACCAGGUGCA